rnacentral:rRNA from 1 species
UAAUACGGAGGGGGCAAGCGUUGUUCGGAAUUACUGGGCGUAAAGGGCGUGUAGGCGGCCUGACCAAGUCGGGUGUGAAAGCCCUCGGCUCAACCGAGGAACUGCACUCGAAACUGGUUGGCUAGAGUCCGGGAGGGGGUAGCGGAAUUCCCAGUGUAGCGGUGAAAUGCGUAGAUAUUGGGAAGAACACCGGUGGCGAAGGCGGCUACCUGGACCGGAACUGACGCUGAGGCGCGAAAGCUAGGGGAGCGAAUGGGAUUAGAUACCCCGGUAGUCCUAGCUGUAAACGAUGGGUACUUGGUGUGGCGGGUACUGACCCCUGCCGUGCCGGAGCUAACGCGUUAAGUACCCCGCCUGGGGAGUACGGUCGCAAGGCUG